CCUACGGGUGACAGCAGUGAGGAAUAUUGGUCAAUGGACGAGAGUCUGAACCAGCCAAGUAGCGUGAAGGAUGACUGCCCUAUGGGUUGUAAACUUCUUUUAUAUGGGAAUAAAAUGUUCCACGUGUGGGCUUUUGUAUGUACCAUAUGAAUAAGGAUCGGCUAACUCUGUGCCAGCAGCCGCGGUAAUACGGAGGAUCCGAGCGUUAUCCGGAGUUAUUGGGUUUAAAGGGAGCGUAGGUGGAUUGUUAAGUCAGUUGUGAAAGUUUGCGGCUCAACCGUAAAAUUGCAGUUGAAACUGGCAGUCUUGAGUACAGUAGAGGUGGGCGGAAUUCGUGGUGUAGCGGUGAAAUGCUUAGAUAUCACGAAGAACUCCGAUUGCGAAGGCAGCUCACUGGACUGCAACUGACACUGAGGCUCGAAAGUGUGGGUAUCAAACAGGAUUAGAUACCCUAGUAGUC
rnacentral:rRNA from 1 species